rnacentral:pre_miRNA from 1 species
CGUGUACCAGUGGGGUCCCUUGGCCUGGCUUGCAGGAUCAGGCCAAACCUGGCUCUCAAACAUCCCCCAGGGGUACAGAUUGUGAGAGGGUUUAGGCCAGGCCAAGGGACCCCACUGGUGCACG